rnacentral:rRNA from 1 species
GACGAACCGUGCGAACGUUGUUCGGAAUCACUGGGCUUAAAGGGUGCGUAGGCGGGUUGUCCAGUCUGGGGUGAAAUCCCACGGCUCAACCGUGGAACUGCCUCAGAUACUGACGACCUCGAGGGAGGUAGGGGCGAGCGGAACUGUGGGUGGAGCGGUGAAAUGCGUUGAUAUCCACAAGAACUCCGGUGGCGAAGGCGGCUCGCUGGACCUCUUCUGACGCUGAGGCACGAAAGCUAGGGGAGCAAACCGG